GCCUGGCUAGCUCAAUCGGUAGAGCAUUUGACUCUUAAUCAAAAGGUUGCGGGUUCGAGCCCCGCGUUGGGCU
rnacentral:tRNA from 19 species